rnacentral:rRNA from 1 species
AAUGGGGGAAACCCUGAUCUAGCCAUGCCGCGUGAGUGAUGACGGCCCUAGGGUUGUAAAGCUCUUUCGCCAGGGAUGAUAAUGACAGUACCUGGUAAAGAAACCCCGGCUAACUCCGUGCCAGCAGCCGCGGUAAUACGGAGGGGGUUAGCGUUGUUCGGAAUUACUGGGCGUAAAGCGCGCGUAGGCGGACUGGAAAGUUAGGGGUGAAAUCCCAGGGCUCAACCCUGGAACUGCCUUUAAAACUCCCAGUCUAGAGUUCGAGAGAGGUGAGUGGAAUUCCGAGUGUAGAGGUGAAAUUCGUAGAUAUUCGGAGGAACACCAGUGGCGAAGGCGGCUCACUGGCUCGAUACUGACGCUGAGGUGCGAAAGUGUGGGGAGCAAACAGGAUU